CUGAAGUAGAAAAGCACAGGAAACCUAUAAAUUUCCGGAUGCACGCACCUGCUAAAGGAAACCAGACCAUGUACAGUUUGUACACUUGGUAUUGCGCAACUUGACGAAAAAAAGAAAAUCGGUUGACAUGGAAACGCUUGAAGAACUGCCAUACACUUUACUGGUUGGAUCCAUCGUAAUGGUUUUGAUGAUGUCAUUUAUUGUUACACGGGUCUUGACUGGCACAUGCAAGAAUACUGGUGAUUUUCGUCCAAAGCCAAAAUCAACCUAAUACAGCACUACAACUUUAUACAACAAUUUUGUCAAUUUAUUUUAUAUCAGCAUGUUGGAAGUAUUUUCAUUGUAUAUUUACAUUUUUAAAAUGUUUGUUGCUUUUUGGAUUAUUUCCACUUUAAAAUGUUUUAUAUAAAUACUUUUACUUAA